rnacentral:rRNA from 1 species
UACAGAGGUCCCAAGCGUUGUUCGGAUUCACUGGGCGUAAAGGGUGCGUAGGUGGCAGGGUAAGUUUGAUGUGAAAUCUCCGAGCUUAACUCGGAAACUGCAUUGAAUACUAUCCUGCUUGAGGGUUGGAGGGGAGACUGGAAUUCCCGGUGUAGAGGUGAAAUUCGUAGAUAUCGGGAGGAACACCGGUGGCGAAGGCGGCGACCUGGGUAGAUACUGACGCUGAGGUGCGAAAGCGUGGGGAGCAAACAGG